CUGAAGGCCAAUCCUAGUCGGGGCUGGACCUCCCCCAAUGUAGGGACCGAUCUGUGUCCUUUCAUCGGGAUGUGUGUCUGAGCACCUUGGGAAAUAGACCAGGCAUCACUUGGGAGGGGCGGAGCCUCCCAGGCACCUGUGUGGCACUUGGGUUGGCUGUGAGCUUCGAGCUUUGUCAGCGCGCCCAAAGGACAGGAGGCCCUCACCGAACCCGCAGGUCACCUGCCCCUCGCCCAGAAACAGCCACCAGGGACAACAGAAUCUAAAGGAAGAUGCAUUGUGACCAGGGUGUUGGGGAAGCAUGAAAUCAGGGGGCCACCAAGUAAGCUUGAUGGCCAGUGUCACCCCAGGGGAGGGCUAGCUUCUGCCAGCUCUGCAAGCACUGUUGUAUCUGGCCAGUGCGGGGCAGACUAGGAAGCCACUUGUCCACCUAUGGUGUCCCUGGUUCAGAGCCCAGGGGGCCCUCACAGGAGGUGGGUGUGGCCAGGCCAGGUCCUGGGCAGGGGCUGCAGAGGGGGUGAGAUCUGUGGGUUUGGAUCUUCCUGGGCUUUCCCUGACUGGGGGGUUCAAGGACUUACUGGGGUCAGCCACCCCAAGGUCUGGGCAUCAUGUUCAUCCUGGCCUGUUCCUGCCGCCCCCCCCCCCCCCCCCAGUGCCCUGCACGCUCCUGAGGAACCUCUCCAAGGGAAUAUGCUGAAACUUCGCCUCGCUCUGGAACCUCUCCCCAUGUGACAGGAAGUGCCCACAAGGACUGUGUGCUUUGAGGCGCCAAGCUCACCUCUUAACUCUGGUGUGGCCACACAGCCUCCCUCUGGCUUCCCAGCCACUUGGGUUCCUUAAAUUCUGGGAUUCCUGGGUUCCAGCAGGGUCCUCUGUUCUACUGGAGCUGGACACAUGGCUGCCUGACACCCAUGUGGACCCGGGAUCUCCCAGCCCUGGAGCCUCUGCCUGAGGCUGUCCCUCCCCAGCCCUGGCUGCAGGUGCCUGACCUCCCGCUGGGCUGCGUCUCCUUCCCUUGUGACCAGAGUGUUUGGGCUGUUCGCUGAGGGAAUGGAGAGAAGGCUCAAGGUGCACACACACCAAGGAGCUCCCGGGCCACCCUCC